rnacentral:lncRNA from 1 species
GAUGCCAACUCCAUUCCUACGCCUGUCGCUCCCAGAGUACCACAGCUUGUAACCGUCCACAUCCCUAGCCUUAGACCCUACCCACUUGGUCUCUUGGACACACGCAAGGUUGAUCCUUCUCUUCCUAAGAAUCUUCACCAGCUCUAUGGACUUCCCCUGAAGGGUCCCUAUAUUCCAAGACCCAACCCUCAGCCUACCGUCGCUAUCCACGCGCCCCCCACUACCCCUCCCUCGGCCAAACCUUGGCCUCCCACCCACUCCCGCUCUCUCCCCAUCUCCCGCCCCCGCCACAGCCCCACGCCCCAACCCCCUCGGACAUGACCCUAACCACCCAUUACCACCCACAGCCACAACUACACGAAAAAAUAGGAAAAUAUAAGGAUAUACCCGGUGUCAAUAUCAAAGCAGCAGCUAGGAGAUAUAAGGCACACACACGUUCAAAGGACUACUCCCGAAGCAAAACUAAGAAGCGACCACAGCAACAGCAACAACAGACAACAAACAAUGUUCACAAAUCCCACGCAAGUCAAUAGUAAAGCAGCAGCAAGUAAUACAAGGCUCGCACAAAUUCAAGGAAAUAUUCCAGCAACCAAACUAUACUCAAUUACUAGUAUAAUAUGAAGAAUGAAAGAAUGCAGAAUGAAGAAUGAAAUAAGCAAAGGUUAGAAGUCACCGGAUUUCACUUGUAGACCAAGCCGGCAACCAAGCCCCGCUUCGACCUACUGCCGGAGGAUCGCUACAGAGAUGUAUCCGCGGCUGCUGACGAUGGAGCGGCGGUGCAGCUGAAGACCGAGCUUCGGCUGA